CCUACGGGGUGCAGCAGUGGGGAAUAUUGGACAAUGGGCGAAAGCCUGAUCCAGCCAUGCCGCGUGUGUGAAGAAGGCCUUCGGGUUGUAAAGCACUUUCAGUGGGGAAGAAAGCCUUGGGGCUAAUACCCUCGAGGAAGGACAUCACCCACAGAAGAAGCACCGGCUAACUCCGUGCCAGCAGCCGCGGUAAUACGGAGGGUGCGAGCGUUAAUCGGAAUUACUGGGCGUAAAGCGCGCGUAGGCGGUCUGAUAAGCUGGUUGUGAAAGCCCCGGGCUCAACCUGGGAACGGCAUCCGGAACUGCCAGGCUAGAGUGCAGGAGAGGAAGGUAGAAUUCCCGGUGUAGCGGUGAAAUGCGUAGAGAUCGGGAGGAAUACCAGUGGCGAAGGCGGCCUUCUGGACUGACACUGACGCUGAGGUGCGAAAGCGUGGGUAGCAAACAGGAUUAGAUACCCGAGUAGUC
rnacentral:rRNA from 1 species